UUCGGGGUGAUGGGGACUCACAGGAGACUGCCGGGGUCAACUCGGAGGAAGGUGGGGACGACGUCAAGUCAUCAUGCCCCUUAUGUCUUGGGCUGCACACGUGCUACAAUGGCCGGUACAAUGAGCUGCGAUGUCGUAAGGCGGAGCGAAUCUCAAAAAGCCGGUCUCAGUUCGGAUUGGGGUCUGCAACUCGACCCCAUGAAGUCGGAGUUGCUAGUAAUCGCAGAUCAGCAUUGCUGCGGUGAAUACGUUCCCGGGCCUUGUACACACCGCCCGUCACGUCACGAAAGUCGGUAACACCCGAAGCCGGUGGCCCAACCCCCUUGUGGGGAGGGAGCUGUCGAAGGUGGGACUGGCGAUUGGGACGAAGUCGUAACAAGGUAGCCGUACCGGAAGGUGCGGCUGGAUCACCUCCUUU
rnacentral:rRNA from 1 species